rnacentral:lncRNA from 1 species
CAAAAAGCACUUAGUAAUUUCCCCCAAAGAUGGUUCCAUCUCCUUUCUGUAUCCUGAUGAAGGAAUUACUUGAAGCAUUACAGUUCUGGAGCACACAGGUAAUGGGGCUCCCUGCCAUAAACACUGUGUAAAGCUGGAGAUACGCACAACUAGGGAAGACAAUCAAUAUAUUCUAUUGUAACAGAAACUUACUAAUCAGUAGUAGAGGGAACUUGAUGGGCAUGAAGAUGACAUUUACUUAUGUGGGACAGAAUGAAAUGAUGAAGGGGAAAAUGAAUAUCAUGUUCCAAUAAAUUAUGAAAUUUCUGACAAUGUUAAAACCUCAGUGAUUUUUAGAGUGAGGCUCAGAGAAAAAGCUGUGUCCUACUCAUGCUUUGAAAGAGGAUGUACAUAAAUGAUAAAAAGAGAGCAGCCUAAUAUUGAGCCGUAUUUUGGAGGCCAUUUUCACAUGUGGAUUUGGGGCUGUAGUAACACAGCAGUGUUAGAGCAUUUCCUGGUUUCAUCUCCAAGCAAACAACCUCACUGCCACCUCUCCCACCUAGUCCUAUUCCUCCACCUUAGCCAGGUGUUAGGGUUUUUUUUUUUUGACUUAUUUCUUGGAAAUAGAAUUCUAGUUUAUACGUGAAUGAAGGAGGUGAGGAGAAAA